rnacentral:rRNA from 1 species
AAGAGCGACCAUAUCAGCACUAAUGUACGAGAUUCCAUCAGAACUCCGAAGUUAAGCGUGCUUGGGCAAGAAUAGUUCUAAGAUGGGCUUGUCUUAUAAAUU